CAAUAGCGUAUAUUAAAGUUGUUGCAGUUAAAAAGCUCGUAGUUGGAUUUCGGCCUUUGUAGAGCUACGGUCUACUUGGAGUUUGGUUUCGGCCAGACGCUUGAUGAGUGUGUACUGUCUCUCAUUGGCUUCCUUCCGGUUUGCCACCAUCUGCUCUUUGCUGAGUGGGUGGAUUUCAAGGGGAGCGCUUUUGUUGGUGUUUCCUGAGGCUCCGGAUCGUUUACUGUGAAAAAAUUAGAGUGUUUAAAGCAGGCAUUUGUUUUCGCCUUGAAUACAUUAGCAUGGGAUAAUAAAAGAGGGCUUUGCUCUUAUUUUGUUGGUUUCUAAGAUUGUAAAGUAAUGAUUAAUAGAGAUAGUUGGGGGCAUUCAUAUUUAAUUGUCAGAGGUGAAAUUCUUGGAUUUAUGAAAGAUGAACUUCUGCGAAAGCAUUUGUCAAGGAUAUCCUCAUUAA
rnacentral:rRNA from 1 species